rnacentral:tRNA from 1 species
GACUGAUUAGCUCAGUUGGUUAGAGCGUCCGACUGUUAAUCGGGAGGUCGACAGUUCAAACCUGUCAUUGGUCG